ensembl:antisense
GACGUGACAAGCUGGAUGUCCAUAGGGCGGCCAUCCAAAGGGACGCCCUUGUACUGCUUCAUAGCCUUCAGGGCAUCUGCCCUCCGUUCAAAGUGUACAUCCGCCGUCCCUAAACUUCGUCCAGAGCGAUCGUAGUCCACAGCGGCUUUUUUCAACGUUCCAAAUUCAGCAAAGAGUUCCUGAAUGUCAGCAUCUGACACCCCGAAGUCCAGGUUUGACACGAGCAGCUUGGCACCGGUCUCCACGCCUUCCCCAGCCCCGCAGCCGCUGUCGAAUAGGUCGUGCUGCCACUUGUCCGGAAGUGGUUUCGGUCUGCUGUACGGUGCCGGCCGGUUCCUGCCGCCGCGGGCGAUGGCGGGCCGGUUCCUCCUAGGCCCGCCGCCUCGAUUCACCCGGCGCUGGCUACGGUUCAGCUUAAUGAUGUCGUCCAAAGACAUGUCCAUCUUGUCGGCCAUGGCGGGCGCGGAUCCGGGCCUGGCUGGCCGGGCCCUCGCAGUGCAGACCAGAUAGGACUCAAACUCAAUGAUUCCCCCGCCUUGACUCCGCCUCUCCUACCGGUGCUGGAAUCCCAAGCGCACCAAAAUCACACUUGGAAAUUGGAAGUCUGUGCGCUUGUGAAUCUGGCUUUCGCUCUGACCCCUGGUGGCCGCCCAGCGCUUAGCGACAUCUGGGACAAAUUCAAGGCACUUCCGGAAACCGAGCCGGCCAAGCGGCUUCUCCGCGAUAUUUGCAUACCCACAAUGCAGUGCACACAGAUGGUUGCAUACUUUAAAAGUGUGACGUGUUUUUUUCGUUGUUCUGUUUUACUCAUUCUAUUCCUUAAUGUUAUAGAAGCUUCAAAGAUUUAUCUGAUAUAGUAAAGUAGUCACUAUCUUUAGGAGUAAAUAGUCACCAUUAGUGACCUAGGAAAUACAGUCGGCCGAGAACUGUACACUAGGCCUACUAGGGCAUACUCUGGUUUCUCUUCAGAUCGUAUAAAUCUUUCGCCUUUUACUAAAGAUUUCCGUGGAGAGGAACAACUCUGAGUCUUAAACCAAUUUUUUGAGGCCUUGCUUUUGUAAGGCUACUAAUGUUGUUAAAGAUUAGACUUUGCCUUUUCCUCUUUACUGCAUGCAUCACGUGUUAGCCACUCUAAAUAUCAACGGCUUGCGUUUAGGUUAGAGAGGCGACUCAUCCCGGCGACAUGGUAUUUAUUUAUUAAGCCGUUUUUUAUCUAGCAGGGUUAUGUUGUGGUCUCAGUAAACAUGUGUAUAAACCAUUAUUUUUAAUAUUUUAUUUAAGUGCAAGGUGGUUAGGGACUUAAGGCACGUACAAUUUUCUAGCACUCGCAAAAUGGCUAACCCAGCUCUGUAGCUGAGGAAGAACUAGCGCCCCCUUCUGGCUUCCAUCAGUGCCAAGCAACGCUCAGAUACGCAGGCAAAAUAUUCAUACAAAUAAAGACAGAUACAGUCUAAAAAAUAAAUGCAGGAGCCACUCGAGCAGAAGGGACAGGUUACCCUCAGAGCUGUGGGAGGGACUAGACUAGGAUGCAAUUCCCCAUCUCCCCCCAGCCCCCCCCAAAAAAAAUGAAAAUUACCAUCAAUUAGAGCCUACUCUCCCACCCAAGACCUUUCCCUUAAGGACGGAGACUGUCCCUUUGAAAUACCUCAGUCUCCUUAUAGCUAAAAUACCUCAGUAAUAAGAACAAGUAACAAAGUGGCCGGAACUUCAAACACAGAAUGCCCUCGGUCUGCUUGGCAAAGCAUAUUUGGCUCUGCCCACCCAAGUACACUGGAAAGGAAAUUGGUUUGAAGUUUCUCUCUGCCUGGAACAGACUUAAAAUCACGGUGGAAAUGGAAAGGCUCUUGUAUGUCUCCUGGAUGGGCUACUGCACUGACCAGUUCAUUGCCUGCUUCACGCCUCUCUUCUGUUUCUACAAAAUUCCCUGGGAUAAGCGCUCCUCAGUGCCCCACCUGGGGCCCACUUCUGCUGGACAGGAGCUCCGCUUGGCUUCUCUCACAACUCCCACCUGCAACCCUAUAACAAAUCUCCCUUCUAACCUCUCGGAAAUUCCUUCUCUCCGUUUGCAAAACAAAGGACCUGAAAGCCAACAGUUUUGGUGCCUCUAGUGGCCAUUGGAUAGCCUGGCACCUUAACACUCCAAGCUAUCCAUGACUGAAGCAAGAAAGUUUCCAAAGAUAGCCCACUUUACUUUAUCAUCCUCCGUAUCAUCAAUAGGUGAGGACGGGAGUAUAGGGAGUUCACAGUCCAGCCUGGGAUACCUGCCUAAAGAAAACAAUAAAAUAAAGAAACAGGAUGGACAUACCAUGGAUAGCCGAACAUGUCCAGCAGAGAACAAAAGAGUGUUCAUAAUUGCAUCUGUUGCUUUCCUGUUGCUGUGAUAACAAAACCAAAGUAAAGUUCAUUUUGGCUUAGGCACCCAGGGAGAGAAUCCAUAACAGUAGGGGGAGGCGUAGCAACAGGGGGAUGGAGCAGCAAGCAGAUCACAUCUUCACCUUUAAACACAAGGCAGAGAGAAUAAACCGGAAGCAAGGGAAGGCUAUAAACUCUCAGAGCCCACCCCCCAAUCGACAUCCUUCUGCCAACACAGCCAGACCUAAAGGUUCCGUAUCACUCCCCCACCCAGCACCACUAACUAGAGAUCAAGUGUUCACUCACCCAAGCUCACCGGGGACAUUUCUCCUUCUACCCACCACAACCAUGGAAUAUGAUUCUUCUGUGGAUAAUUGUAGGCUUGGGUUGACCUCUAAGGGUUGUUUUAAGGUUUACAAAUUCAUGAUAACACAUGGAGAACGUGUUAGAUACAUAUUUAGGUUUUUUAAGUGUUGGGCUCACUGUCUGCUCCUGAUCCAUGGAUAACACAUAAUUGAAGGAAAACCAAAGCAAGAUUUCUUGCUUGGGAGAAGAGUGGUCAGAUGUAAGGAACACCGUAGGUCAGAGAACACCACCGCUAACCCAAGGUCCAGUCUAAACAUUUUAGGUAGGAUUUCUGUUGCUAUGAUAAAACGCCAUUAGUCAGGAUUCUCUACAGACGCAGGAAUCACAGGGUGCCUCUAUAUCUUAAGGGAAUCUGUUGUGAUAACAACGGGCAGCUGUGAAUGGGAAGUCCAAGCAUCUAGGAGUUGCCAGGAGGCGAGUUAUUUAAGCUGGUCUUCUGUAGGUUCCAAAAGAGCAAGCAGUUGAAGAAGAGUGAAUCUUCCCUCUUAC